rnacentral:rRNA from 1 species
ACGGGAGGCAGCAGUGGGGAAUAUUGCACAAUGGGGGAAACCCUGAUGCGGCGACGCCGCGUGAAGGAAGAAGUAUCUCGGUAUGUAAACUUCUAUCAGCAGGGAUGAUAAUGACGGUACCUGACUAAGAAGCCCCGGCUAACUACGUGCCAGCAGCCGCGGUAAUACGUAGGGGGCAAGCGUUAUCCGGAUUUACUGGGUGUAAAGGGUGCGUAGACGGUUUGGCAAGUCAGAAGUGAAAUCCCGGGGCUUAACUCCGGUGCUGCUUUUGAAACUGUCAGACUAGAGUGCUGGAGGGGCAAGCGGAAUUCCUGGUGUAGCGGUGAAAUGCGUAGAUAUCAGGAGGAACACCGGUGGCGAAGGCGGCUUGCUGGACAGUAACUGACGUUGAGGCACGAAAGCGUGGGGAGCAAACAGGAUUAGAUACCCUGGUA